UGAAGUGUGACCUGCUAGCGAACACACUUUCCUUCUCUUCCAAUGGUCCAGGUGUAACCAAGAGGCUGUAUUUCAGAGGAGAAAUUCUGACUGAGGCCAAGAGUCACCAUGGAAUUUGCUCCAGGUCUCACAGAAGAAAGCAGGGAAGUUGGCAUUGAAGACAUGAAAAACAUGUGCUUCCCUCACAACCCCACAGCGCCUUUGAAAGGAGUGGCGAGAGAGGGAGGCUUGAGCAGUGGCAUUUCAAAUGGACGGUGAUUCUCCUAGAGGGAGGACAUGCCACCCAGAGGGAACUUCCUGGAUGAAGGAAGAAGGAACGCAGUCAAGUGUGGUGGAAAAAAUUUCAACAAUGGAGAAGGACAAAGAAAUCCAGUCUACACACAAUCCUGGACUUGAAGUUAUAUUACAAAGCUACAGUAAUAAAAACAGCAUAGUACUGACACAGAAACAGACACCAAGAUCAAUGGAGCAGAAUAGAGGAUGCAGAAACAACACUACAUACAUUCAGUGCUUUGAUUUUUAAUAAAAGGACCAAAAACAUACAUUGUAGGAAAGAUAGCCUUUUAUUAAAUAGUGUUGGGAAAACUGGUUAUCCCUCACAGAAGACUGAAUCUAGACCUGUAUCUCUCACCAUGUACUAAACCAAAAUCAAAACGGAUCAAAGAUCUAAAUGUUAAAGCAGAAACACUUGACCUGUCGGAAGAUAAAAUAGGUGAAACUCGUGAAGUCAUAGACGUAGGUAAGGAUUUUCUAAAAAGAACCCCAGUUGCAUGAGAAAUAUCAAGAAUCAAAACUGGGACUAUAUGAAAUUAAAAAGCUUAUGCACAGUAGGAGAAAGAACCAGCAGAGUGAAAAGACAACCUACAGAAUGGGAAAAAAUUUUGGCAGGUAUCCCUUAGAAAACGAACAUCUAAAAUAUAUAAAAAACUAAAAAAUAUUAGCCCCCCCAAUAAAAACAACGAAAACUGGCACAUGAAAUGAAUAUACACACCAAAGAAGAAGUACAAAUGGCCAACAAAUACGUGAAAGGAUGUUGGACUCACUGGCCACCGGAGG
rnacentral:lncRNA from 1 species